rnacentral:rRNA from 1 species
GGCCUAACACAUGCAAGUCGAACGGUAGCACAGAGAGCUUGCUCUCGGGUGACGAGUGGCGGACGGGUGAGUAAUGUCUGGGAAACUGCCUGAUGGAGGGGGAUAACUACUGGAAACGGUAGCUAAUACCGCAUAACGUCGCAAGACCAAAGAGGGGGACCUUCGGGCCUCUUGCCAUCAGAUGUGCCCAGAUGGGAUUAGCUAGUAGGUGGGGUAACGGCUCACCUAGGCGACGAUCCCUAGCUGGUCUGAGAGGAUGACCAGCCACACUGGAACUGAGACACGGUCCAGACUCCUACGGGAGGCAGCAGUGGGGAAUAUUGCACAAUGGGCGCAAGCCUGAUGCAGCCAUGCCGCGUGUAUGAAGAAGGCCUUCGGGUUGUAAAGUACUUUCAGCGGGGAGGAAGGUGUUGUGGUUAAUAACCGCAGCAAUUGACGUUACCCGCAGACGAAGCACCGGCUAACUCCGUGCCAGCAG